rnacentral:lncRNA from 1 species
GCAGGUGGAACAAUCGUGCGGUCAGCUCCACCUGCCACAACCCUUCCUGAAAGAUCCAGGCCCACAGAAAAGCCAGGAUCCUGUCUUUAAAGACUGCUCUGCUCUCCCACCUCAUCCUGUGUCCAAUAACCGCACCUUCCAACAGCGUUUCUAACCCUGUUCUCUCCAAGCGUGGCCUGCAGCACCUCUCCAGGCCUCUGGUGAAGUAACUGACUGGACAUCCCAAAGUUAGGUGGUCCUGAGAGCCAGGUGCUGACAGCUGCCUCACCUUAAGAGUCUCCUUUCGUUAUGGCAUCUGGAAAGAUCUCACAUGGCAGGCCUGCUUCUAGUUCCUUGUUCCUAGUGUGUCUGAGGAAAUCCAAUCUCUCCCACUCCAGCCCGCCUACUCAUUGAACAUGGCUGCUAUCUCUGUCUUCUGGAAACACGGCUCCAAUCCUGCAACAACUCUAUACAAGAGCUCCCAGGGGUUCUUAACCUUGGCUGAGCAACAGACCCAUUUGGGAAGAUUUUUAAAAAUCUAGCUUAUGAGAUACCUCAGAUCAAUCAAUCCCUGGCAGUGGGUCUGCUAAACAUCAGAUACAGACAAACAACUGCAUAGAUCUCCAACUAGAUUGAAGAACAGGACCCUCCAGAGAGCUUCCAAGAAGACACCAACCUAGGCAUGGGUUUAUGUUCCUGACAAAGAAUAAGGAUUGUUAUGAAGAAUGUUCUAUUUUGAAUUGUGAAAAUAAUUAUUUAAAGCUGUACAAUGAAAGCUUUCACUAGACCUUGAUGGCACUAUGGUCAUUAUCUUGUCAAAACUGUGGUGGAUUUGAAGAGCUAGUGAUGAAGAAUGGAGGUUUCCUGUCCUAGAAAUAACCAAAGGCCCAGGCUUGGAGGUGGCAGAAAAAGUGGCACUUAAGGUUAAAUUUCCUGGAUAAAAUCAGAUCAGCCGUGUAAUCACCCUGCUACAAUAAAAGGAGCUCAGUGUGCUUUAUGGCAACCACACCAGUCAAGGGCUCUCUCUGGCACCAAGGGAGCCAUAAGGGCCCCCUGCCAAGUGGAGCUGAGGGAUGCUCGAGGCCAGGGUCUGGACCUUCUCACUAUAAAAAGAAUAGUGAAGUAUACAGAUAUUUACCUACUGAGUUAUGUUUGGGCUGAUAAAAAUGCUCAGAUGUCCAAUCCCAUUACUGGGUAUAAACCCAGAGGAAUAUAAUUCAUUCUACUAUAAAGACAUAUGCACGCAAAUGUUCUUUGCAGCAGUAUUCACAAUAGCAAAGAUAUGGAAUCAAACUAAAUGCCCAUCAAUGACAGUCUGGGUAAUGAAAAUGUGGUAUAGAUAUACCAUGGAAUACUAUGCAGCCAUAAAAAAGAACAAGAUCAUGUCUUUCACAGGAACAUGGACGGAGCUGGAGGCUACUAUCCUUAGCAAACUAAUGCAGGAACAGAAAACCAAAUGCUGCAUAUCUAAGUGGGAGCUGAAUGGUACUAGCCCAGUAUUUGGAAUUUGCCAAAGCUAUAUUCCUCAGAAUUUACUUCAAGAGCUCCUUUGUAUCGGCGGAGAAUGAAGAACGGAGAAGAGGAGGAGGAGGUUGAAAGAAACUUAAGAGAUGUGGCAACUAAUUGCAACGUGUAGAUUGUAUUUAGCUCAUGAUUCACACAAACUAGAUAUUUGUUAUUAAAGAAUUAUGGUUGUUUUUGGUGUGAU